UCACCUGAAAGACUUUUGAAAAACAUUUUCUGUACCGUCAUUCUCUGGUGUAGUUUGAGUGAAAAUUGCUGGUAGUGCUUUUAUUUCCAUUCUAUCAUGUCAUAUGACAUAAUAUUUUGUGGUUACCAGCCUUUAGCCAAAAAAAAUUUCCUGCACAGAAGAGAGCGCCGAGAAAUAUGAGCGGUAUUCAUCCAAGAUAUUCUUGCAGAAAUCUGUUCCUUCACAAAAUGAAGAAACAUUCCUGCUAUUCAGCUGCUGUAUAGCCAUAGGCCUCUCAUCGAUUUGAAAAUCACGAAAGCUGACAAGAAAGUUCUCUUCCAGAUAUAUUUAUGAAGAAAGGGAUGUGCUUCACUACCUGUAUAAAUGGUGAUAUGCAAAACUGGAACUAGCCAUCAACAAUAUUACAGCAAUAAUAAUGGGAGAAACCACUUCAAAAUUCAUCUGUUGUGUGGUCUACAUCAUUGGAAGUAUCAUUCAUAGAAUCAUUUCAGUACAUCAAUAUAUGAGACUUCGAGAAACAUAAAACCAAGUGCAACAUCAACAGCAAAAUAAUCAAAUAAUAUCUGCCUCCUCUUUCUUAUCGUUUAUGUUAUAUUUUCUAUAUUCCAGUCCAUUUCGACACUACCUUUUAAUCUCCAAGAGUCUGUUAUUUUUGGUGGUGCCAGUGUCUUCCUCACAAUUUCUUUUUCAGUAUGUCUAUUUAAUGUAUUUCAUAACUGAAUGGAAGUUUAAUACUUUUCU